CGUAGAUAACCUGCCUGUAUGACCGGGAUAACAGUUGGAAACGACUGCUAAUACCGGAUAGGCAGAGAGGAGGCAUCUCUUCUCUGUUAAAGUUGGGACACAACGCAAACAGAUGGAUCUGCGGUGCAUUAGCUAGUUGGUGAGGUAACGGCCCACCAAGGCGAUGAUGCAUAGCCGGCCUGAGAGGGCGAACGGCCACAUUGGGACUGAGACACGGCCCAA
rnacentral:rRNA from 1 species